rnacentral:rRNA from 1 species
UACGUAGGGCGCAAGCGUUGUCCGGAAUUAUUGGGCGUAAAGAGCUCGUAGGCGGCCUGUUACGUCUGCUGUGAAAUCCCGGGGCUUAACCCCGGGCGUGCAGUGGAUACGGGCAGGCUGGAGGCAGGCAGGGGAGAACGGAGUUCCCGGUGUAGCGGUGAAAUGCGCAGAUAUCGGGAGGAACACCGGUGGCGAAGGCGGUUCUCUGGGCCUGUACUGACGCUGAGGAGCGAAAGCGUGGGGAGCGAACAGG